rnacentral:rRNA from 1 species
CCUACGGGAGGCAGCAGUGGGGGAUAUUGGACAAUGGGGGGAACCCUGAUCCAGCGACGCCGCGUGAGUGAAGAAGUAUUUCGGUAUGUAAAGCUCUGUCAGCAGGGAAGAGCAGAAGACGGUACCUGACUAAGAAGCCCCUGCUAACUACGUGCCAGCAGCCGCGGUAAUACGUAGGGGGCAAGCGUUAUCCGGAUGUACUGUGUGUAAAGGGAGCGUAGGCGGCGAUGCAAGUCAGAAGUGAAAGCCCGGGGCUCAACUCCGGGACUGCUUUUGAAACUGUGUGGCUAGAUUGCAGGAGAGGUAAGUGGAAUUCCUGGUGUAGCGGUGAAAUGCGUAGAUAUUAGGAGGAACACCAGUGGCGAAGGCGGCUUACUGGACUGUAAAUGACGCUGAGGCUCGAAAGCGUGGGGAGCAAACAGGAUUAGAUACCCUGGUAGUC